GUAAGGAAUAUUGCGCAAUGGACGAAAGUCUGACGCAGCGACGCCGCGUGGGGGAUGAAGGUCUUCGGAUUGUAAACCCCUUUCGGGAGGGAAGAUGGAGUGGGUAACCACUUGGACGGUACCUCCAGAAGCAGCCACGGCUAACUUCGUGCCAGCAGCCGCGGUAAUACGAAGGUGGCAAGCGUUGUUCGGAUUCACUGGGCGUACAGGGAGCGUAGGCGGUUGGGUAAGCCCUCCGUGAAAUCUCCGGGCCUAACCCGGAAAGUGCAGAGGGGACUGCUCAGCUAGAGGAUGGGAGAGGAGCGCGGAAUUCCCGGUGUAGCGGUGAAAUGCGUAGAGAUCGGGAGGAAGGCCGGUGGCGAAGGCGGCGCUCUGGAACAUUUCUGACGCUGAGGCUCGAAAGCGUGGGGAGCAAACAGGAUUAGAUACCCUAGUAGUCC
rnacentral:rRNA from 1 species